AGAAUGAUGAAUUAAGAUGUAUGAAUAAAUGAUUAUAUUAAUAAUAUUCUAUCCUCUAAGAAGAUCUGACUUC